GACGAACGCUGGCGGCGUGCUUAACACAUGCAAGUCGAACGGAAAGGCCUGCUUUCCCUUGUGGAUUGCGGGUACUCGAGUGGCGAACGGGUGAGUAACACGUGAGUGAUCUGCCCCCAACUUGGGUAUAAGCCUGGGAAACUGGGUCUAAUUCCCGAUAGGACUGCAGGGUGGUGCCUGUGGUGGAAAACGAUUUUCUAGUGGUUGGGGAUGAGCUCGCGGCCUAUCAGCUUGUUGGUGGGGUAAUGGCCUACCAAGGCGGCGACGGGUAGCCGGCCUGAGAGGGUGGACGGCCACAUUGGGACUGAGAUACGGCCCAGACUCCUACGGGAGGCAGCAGUGGGGAAUAUUGCACAAUGGGCGGAAGCCUGAUGCAGCGACGCCGCGUGGGGGAUGACGGCCUUCGGGUUGUAAACUCCUUUCGACCGCGAGGAAGCUACCUGGUUGGAAGGGUGGUGACGGUAGUGGUAGAAGAAGCACCGGCUAACUACGUG
rnacentral:rRNA from 1 species